rnacentral:lncRNA from 1 species
GAAUAAAAUUCGCCAGUGUUGCUAUAAAUUAAAAGGUAAUUAUAAGCUUUUAAUAUUUAUAACAGUCACAGAGGAUACAAAUGAAAAACUAAAGCGCAGACACUUAACCAUGAUCCUACAAGUACAUGUUCGACACACUUGUGAUUUUAACUUGUUUUUCUUAUUUAUACCAUCUACAAUAUAUACAAUCCAUCACGCCAAACAUGCCAUCGAUUUUUACAUAAUAGAGCAGGAAUCAGGAUCCUUACUGACCAAAUGAGGAGCACCAUAAACUAGUUCUCGAGGAUAGAUUGGGUUAAUACCCUUAUUUUCCAUUUCAUUGGUUUCUUUGUUAUUCAGUUUAUUGGUCUGCGUCAGAAUUUCUGCAUGCCUUCCGGCUCUUUUGUAGAUUAAUACCAUCGGUUUCUGUGCUUCCGUACUUCCCUUUACAUCCACGAGAUAUUUCUUCAUAUCUUUCCACUGUUUGCACUCCUGUCAUCCAUAAAUCAACACACAAAUAAGCACAGAUCUUAUGCAUAUAAAGCAGGAAGAUCGUGCACAGAUUGAGUCCUGCUAAAU